CCCAGUCCUCAGACCACACUAACAAUCUACAAUUAUGGUAUUUCUCAAUACUGGCUAUGAUUGUUGUAUAUCCGUUAUAGCAUACAUGUUUGUUUUGAAAAAGUGCAUAAUGUAAAACUGAAAAAAAUCAGCCUAAUCUGAUUAGCAGUUUCUUAGCCUAGCAGGACCCAGGAACUAUAAAAACAUCUCAGCAUGUCGUUAGACUCAGAUCUAUUUUUUUU